rnacentral:rRNA from 1 species
GACGAACGCUGGCGGCGUGCUUAACACAUGCAAGUCGAGCGGUAAGGCCUUUCGGGGUACACGAGCGGCGAACGGGUGAGUAACACGUGGGUGAUCUGCCAUGCAAUCUGGGAUACGCCUGGGAAACUGGGACUAAUACUGGAUAUGACCUCAGCAUACAUGUGCUGGGGUGGAAAGCUUUGGUGGUGCAUGAUGGGCCCGCGGUCUGUCAGCUUGUUGGUGGGGGAAUGGCCUACCAAGGCGACGACGGGUAGCCGAACGCAGAGGGUGACCGGCCACGCUGGUACUGAGACACGGCCCAGACUCCGACGGGAGGGAGCAGUGGGGAAUAUUGCACAAUGGGCGGCAGCCUGAUGCAGCGACGCCGCGUGAGGGAUGAAGGCCUUCGGGUUGUAAACCUCUUUCAGCAGGGACGAGGCGUGAGUGACGGUACCUGCAGAAGAAGCACCGGCUAACUACGUGCCAGCAGCCGCGGUAA